GCCCGCAUAGAUCAAUGGUUAGAUCGCCUUCUAAACUUGUGGUUGAAGUAUUUGCAUACUAUGCAGGAGACGGAGGUUCAAAUCCUCCUGCGGGCA